rnacentral:rRNA from 1 species
CCAAUAGCGUAUAUUAAAGUUGUUGCAGUUAAAAAGCUCGUAGUUGAAUUUCGGAAUUUGUCGGUUGGUCGGGCUUCACUGUCCGCACUGGCCUGAUAGAUUCCUACCUUCUGAAUAACCAGCAUGCUAUUAAUUUAGUGCGUUGGGGAAGCAGAGCUAUUACCUUGAAAAAAUUAGAGUGCUUAAAGCAGGCUCACGCUUGAAUAGAUUAGCAUGGAAUAAUAAAAUAGGACGGCUUGGUUCUAUUUUGUUGGUUUCUAGGAUCACCGUAAUGAUUAAUAGGGAUAGUUGGGGGCAUUAGUAUUCAAUUGUCAGAGGUGAAAUUCUUGGAUUUAUUGAAGACUAACUUCUGCGAAAGCAUUUGCCAAGGAUGUUUUCAUUAAUCAAGAACGAAAGUUAGGGGAUCGAAGACGAUCAGAUACCGUCGUAGUCUUAACCAUAAACUAUGCCGACUAGGGAUCGGACGAUGUUAAUUUUUUAAUGACUCGUUCGGCACCUUAUG